rnacentral:rRNA from 1 species
GACGUAGGGUGCGAGCGUUGUCCGGAAUCAUUGGGCGUAAAGAGCGUGUAGGCGGCCAGAUAAGUCCGCUGUGAAAUCUCGAGGCUCAACUUCGAGCUGUCGGUGGAAACUGUCUGGCUAGAGUCCGGAAGAGGAGAAUGGAAUUCCUGGUGUAGCGGUGAAAUGCGCAGAUAUCAGGAAGAACACCCGUGGCGAAGGCGGUUCUCUGGGACGGUACUGACGCUGAGACGCGAAAGCGUGGGGAGCGAACAGG